UACGGAGGGUGCAAACGUUGCUCGGAAUCAUUGGGCGUAAAGCGCACGUAGGCGGUCCAGCAAGUCGGGUGUGAAAGCCCUCGGCUUAACCAAGGAAGUGCAUUCGAAACUACUGGACUUGAAUACUGGAGAGGAUCGCGGAAUUCCCGGUGUAGAGGUGAAAUUCGUAGAUAUCGGGAGGAACACCAGUGGCGAAGGCGGCGAUCUGGACAGAUAUUGACGCUGAGGUGCGAAAGCGUGGGGAGCAAACAGG
rnacentral:rRNA from 1 species